rnacentral:rRNA from 1 species
AACGAACGCUGGCGGCAGGCGUAACAUAUGCAAGUCGAACGAACGUAGCAAUACGUUAGUGGCAGACGGGUGAGUAACGCGUGGGAAUAUGCCCUUUAGUUAGGAAUAACCAAGGGAAACUUUGGCUAAUACCGGAUAAGCACGAGAGGGGAAAGAUUUAUCGCUGAAGGAGUAGCCCGGGUCUGAUUAGCUAGUUGGUGAGGUAAGGGCUCACCAAGGCGACGAUCAGUAGCUGGUCUGAGAGGAUGAGCAGCCACACUGGUACUGAGACACGUCCCAGACUCCUACGGGAGGCAGCAGUGGAGAAUAUUGGACAAUGUGGGUAACCCUGAACCAGCCAUGCCUCGUGAGUGAUGAAGGCCUUAGGGUUGUAAAACUCUUUUAUCCGGGAAGAUAAUGACUGUACCGGAAGAAUAAGCCUCGGCUAACUUCGUGCCAGCCGCCCCGGUUA